rnacentral:rRNA from 1 species
UGAUCUUUAUUAAAAAUUGUGAAGAAGGUACUCUAGGGAUAACAGCGUUAUAGUUAAUAAAGCUCUUAUUUAAAUAACUGUUUGCGACCUCGAUGUUGAAUUGCGGNNAAUUAGUUAAAGCAGAAAUUAAACUAAUUNGGGUCU